rnacentral:rRNA from 1 species
UACGUAGGUGGCAAGCGUUGUCCGGAUUUACUGGGCGUAAAGAGCGCGCAGGCGGUCGAUCAAGUCGCGUGUGAAAGCCCCCGGCUCAACUGGGGAGGGUCACGCGAUACUGAUCGACUCGAAGGCAGGAGAGGGUAGUGGAAUUCCCGGUGUAGUGGUGAAAUGCGUAGAUAUCGGGAGGAACACCAGUGGCGAAGGCGACUAUCUGGCCUGUUCUUGACGCUGAGGCGCGAAAGCUAGGGGAGCAAACGGG